CGAUUAAGCCAUGCGAGUCAUAUGUUCUUCGUGAACAUGGCGUACUGCCUCAGUAACACGUGGAUAACCUGCCCUUGGGACCGGGAUAACCCCGGGAAACUGGGGAUAAUACCGGAUAACGCAUAUCUGCUGGAAUGCUUUAUGCGUAAAAUGGAUUUGUCUGCCCAAGGAUGGGUCUGCGGCCUAUCAGGUAGUAGUGGGUGUAAUGUACCUACUAGCCUACGACGGGUACGGGUUGUGAGAGCAAGAGCCCGGAGAUGGAUUCUGAGACAUGAAUCCAGGCCCUACGGGGCGCAGCAGGCGCGAAAACUUUACAAUGCGGGAAACCGUGAUAAGGGGACACCGAGUGCCAGCAUCAUAUGUUGGCUGUCCAGAUGUGUAAAAUACAUCUGUUAGCAAGGGCCGGGCAAGACCGGUGCCAGCCGCCGCGGUAACACCGGCGGCCCGAGUGGUGAUCGUGAUUAUUGGGUCUAAAGGGUCCGUAGCCGGUUUGGUCAGUCCUCCGGGAAAUCUGACGGCUCAACCGUUAGGCUUUCGGUGGAUACUGCCAGACUUGGAACCGGGAGAGGUAAGAGGUACUACAGGGGUAGGAGUGAAAUCUUGUAAUCCCUGUGAGACCACCUGUGGCGAAGGCGUCUUACCAGAACGGGUUCGACGGUGAGGGACGAAAGCUGGGGGCACGAACCGGAUUAGAUACCCGGGUAGUCCCAGCCGUAAACGAUGCUCGCUAGGUGUCAGGCAUGGCGCGACCGUGUCUGGUGCCGCAGGGAAGCCGUGAAGCGAGCCACCUGGGAAGUACGGCCGCAAGGCUGAAACUUAAAGGAAUUGGCGGGGGAGC
rnacentral:rRNA from 1 species